UACGGGGGGGGCAAGCGUUGUUCGGAAUUACUGGGCGUAAAGGGCUUGUAGGUGGCCAACUAAGUCAGACGUGAAAUCCCUCAGCUUAACUGGGGGACUGCGUCUGAUACUGGAUGGCUUGAGUUUGGGAGAGGGACGCGGAAUUCCAGGUGUAGCGGUGAAAUGCGUAGAUAUCAGGAGGAACACCUGUGGUGUAGACAGCUUACUGGACCACUUCUGACGCUGAGACACGAAAGCGUGGGUAGCAAACAGG
rnacentral:rRNA from 1 species